CACGGAGCCGGAGAACUCGUCUGUUCCUUCAGACGUUUUAGUGGUGAAAAAGUGACAGACGAGAGGAGUGAAGCGUGUUUUUUGUGUUCAGCUCAGUCUAGAAGUCAGGACUAAUUGAAUAUCAUCUGCCUCUGAGCUGCUCUCAGCCUGAAACAUGCAGUCUGGGGAUGUUUCCUGGAUAGAAAUGAACCUCCGGGAAGAAAGAACCGCACAACUUUUGCCACUUCCUGUCAAAUCAACAGUUCCUGGAGCUGCACUUUAUAAUCAGGGUUGGGUCUCAGUGACUGCAGACUAUCCAGGUCCAUCCAGAUUUGCUUCACCUCAGCAACAUUUUCCAGUUCCUCCUAGGAGAUACCAAAGUUUUCCCAGGUCCAAUGAGAUAUAUAAUCUCUGCUUGGAGGCAAAAAACUAAACCUCCAAAAGAAGUUUCCCAGGAAGCAUCGAUAUGAACGGCAAUCCUAUUCCAAGCUCUACACCUGUAUUAUUGUCCGAUACAACUCUGCUUCAAUCCCGCUGUCCAGUUCCUGUUCCAACUUCCUGUGACUCGUGAACAAGAUCCUUAAACUCCUUUGUUUCAGCACCAACUCAACCCCAACUCAGAAGGUUGAAUCCAGAAGUUUGCAGCAGAUUACAAAGACCUCCAACUUGGAAGUUCUGACUCUAGACCAUAAUGAACAGAACCACAUCAUCUGCAAAAAGUAGAAACUCUGAAGUCCUCAAACUGUUUAAAUGUGACCAUUUAGAUCUAUAAACUUAGACAGGACCACGAACUGUAUAUAAAGAUGGACGUCAUCUACAGGUUUCCCCAAGAGCAGUUUGAUGGCUGUGCCCUUCUCCAUCAUGGUUCUUUCAGGUAAUAUGUGGAUACGAGCAUAAAGGUGGAUCUGAUGUAGGUUUUGGAUUGUCCUGUUCUGGCACCUAUCUGCUGUUUAAAGCAUCCACGUCCUAAAUAAUGCAAAACUUUAAGCCUUAAUACUAUUCAAACAGGUGAGUUCUAUUAAAAGUCACCAUGUAUUUCUCAUAAAAUGGGAAAAAACACAAUAGAGACCAACAGUAGUUUUUCUACUGGGC
ensembl:lncRNA